rnacentral:rRNA from 1 species
AUUGAACGCUGGCGGCAGGCCUAACACAUGCAAGUCGAACGAGUGGCGGACGGGUGUGUUAUGUCUGGGAAAAUGCCUGAUGGCGGGGGAUAACUACUGGAAACCGUAGCCGAUACCGCCUACCCUCGGAUGUGCCCAGGUGGGCUUAGCUUGCAGGUGGGGUAACGGCUCACCUAGGCGACGAUCCCUAGCUGGGCUGAGAGGAUGACCAGCCAGACUGGACCUGAUACACGGUCCAGGCUCGGACGGGAGGCAGCAGUGGUGAAGAUUGCACCAUGGGCGCAAGCCUGAUGCAGCUAGGCCGCGUGUAUGAAGAAGGCCUUCGGGUUGUAAAGUACUUUCAGCGGGGAGGCGUUACCCGCAGAAGAAGCACCGGCUAACUCCGUGCCAGCAGCCGCGGUAAUUC